rnacentral:rRNA from 1 species
UACAGAGGUCUCAAGCGUUGUUCGGAUUCAUUGGGCGUAAAGGGCUCGUAGGCGGCCAACUAAGUCGGAUGUGAAAUCCCCAGGCUCAACUUGGGAACUGCAUCCGAUACUGGAUGGCUUGAAUUCGGGAGAGGGAUGCAGAAUUCCAGGUGUAGCGGUGAAAUGCGUAGAUAUCUGGAGGAAUACCGGUGGCGAAGGCGGCAUCCUGGACCGACAUUGACGCUGAGGAGCGAAAGCUAGGGGAGCAAACGGG